CAGUCGCCGCGGUAAUGCGAAGGGUGCAAGCGUUACUCGGAAUUACUGGGCGUAAAACGUGCGUAGGUGGUGGUUUAAGUCCGUUGUGAAAGCCCUGGGCUCAACCUGGGAAUUGCAGUGGAUACUGGGUCACUAGAGUGUGGUAGAGGAUAGUGGAAUUUCCGGUGUAGCAGUGAAAUGCGUAGAGAUCGGAAGGAACAUCUGUGGCGAAGGCGACUAUCUGGGCCAACACUGACACUGAGGCACGAAAGCGUGGGGAGCAAACAGGAUUAGAUACCCCCUAGUCCCUGUCUCUUAUACA
rnacentral:rRNA from 1 species